rnacentral:rRNA from 1 species
AUACGGAGGAUCCGAGCGUUAUCCGGAUUUAUUGGGUUUAGAGGGAGCGUAGGCGGACGCUUAAGUCAGUUGUGAAAGUUUGCGGCUCAACCGUAAAAUUGCAGUUGAUACUGGGUGUCUUGAGUACAGUAGAGGCAGGGGGGAAUUCGGGUGUAGCGGGGGAAUGCUUAGAUAUCACGAAGAACUCCGAUUGCGAAGGCAGCCUGCUGGACUGUAACUGACGCUGAUGCUCGAAAGUGUGGGUAUCAAACAGGAUUAGAUACCCUGGUAGUCCACACAGUAAACGAUGAAUACUCGCUGUUUGCGAUAUACAGUAAGCGGCCAAGCGAAAGCGUUAAGUAUUCCACCUGGGGAGUACGCCGGCAACGGUGAAACUCAAAUGAAUUGACGGGG